CAAUGGRCGAARGCCUGACGGAGCAACGCCGCGUGAGUGAUGAAGGUCUUCGGAUCGUAAAACUCUGUUAUUAGGGAAGAACAUAUGUGUAAGUAACUGUGCACAUCUUGACGGUACCUAAUCAGAAAGCCACGGCUAACUACGUGCCAGCAGCCGCGGUAAUACGUAGGUGGCAAGCGUUAUCCGGAAUUAUUGGGCGUAAAGCGCGCGUAGGCGGUUUUUUAAGUCUGAUGUGAAAGCCCACGGCUCAACCGUGGAGGGUCAUUGGAAACUGGAAAACUUGAGUGCAGAAGAGGAAAGUGGAAUUCCAUGUGUAGCGGUGAAAUGCGCAGAGAUAUGGAGGAACACCAGUGGCGAAGGCGACUUUCUGGUCUGUAACUGACGCUGAUGUGCGAAAGCGUGGGGAUCAAACAGGAUUAGAUACCCUGGUAGUCCACGCCGUAAAMGAUGAGUGCUAAGUGUUAGGGGGUUUCCGCCCCUUUAGUGCUGCAGCUAACGCAUUAAGCACUCCGCCU
rnacentral:rRNA from 1 species